GGUGGUGUAGCUCAGUUGUAGAGCAUUCACCUUGCAUGUGAAAAGGCCCGGGUUCGAUCCCCGGCAACUCCA